rnacentral:rRNA from 1 species
CACGUAGGGCGCAAGCGUUGUCCGGAAUUAUUGGGCGUAAAGAGCUCGUAGGCGGUCUGCCACGUCCGCUGUGAAAACCUAGGGCUUAACCCUGGGCUUGCAGUAGAUACGGGCAGACUAGAGGUAGGUAGGGGAGAACGGAAUUCCCGGUGUAGCGGUGAAAUGCGCAGAUAUCGGGAGGAACACCAGUGGCGAAGGCGGCGACCUGGACGGACACUGACGCUGAGACGCGAAAGCGUGGGGAGCAAACAGGG